GGUCGAUUAGGUAUUGCAUAUACUUACGCGUGCAUGCAUAUAACUUUUCAGUUUUUGUUUGUAUCCUACGACGUGGAGUUUGCAGUAAAGAAAGUCGGCAAAGUAGGAAAAGAAAGGGUCACGCAGAAGUAAACGCUGAAUUGAUAAAAAAGAUGUGACGUCCAGUGUUAGAGACACGUAGCACCGGUAGUACCGUAACUCGUGGAUUUGUCGGUUGUCCUGUUUCACCUGUACCUGCAGUUCACGCCGGAUCACGCCCUUCUUCUUUACACCGCUCUCACUAACGGUUAAUCGUCGUCAACUACUUCUUGCGUUCGAAAGAAAAUUGAAUACACAGCUAGCGCCAUCGAGUAGCGAUAUCGAGUAACGAAUUUUGCCGCCUCUUCGGUUUCUUUAUUUUCCAGUAUAUCAGACACAUAUAUACUUGGGAACGUAAGUUAGAGAGCUCAUGACAUAUUCGGUUCCAAUCGACUAAUUGGAUAUUUCAAAAGAAUGAUAGUGCUACUUAAUAAGUUAAAACUAAAACAGAUUGUACAAGUAUCUGCUCGAUAUGCACAUGAAAAGAUUCACUGGGCUAAACUGAAGAAAAAGAAAGCGGCAAAAGAUAAAGCACUUGAACAUUUUAAUGAGUUUUACGCAGGCGUUUAUGGAGAUAAGUGGCCAGAUAUACGAGCUGCAUUGUUAUCAGAAGAAUCUAAAUAUAUGGCUGUGGUUAAUAAUUUCAGUGAUCCAGAAAGAAUCCAACCUGAGUUGGAGUUACUUGGUGCAAUAAAUUUGAGGAGUUUAUAUAAUGUACAAAAAGAAAAUGUAGAAUUCUUUAAAGCUAAAAGAGCAGCAAGAUAUGGUAAUUUUCCAGAUAAACAAAAUUCAGAGGACAUUACAACAUCUAAAGAUCAAUUAGCAGAACUUCAAACAACUUAUUCUACUAAUUAUCCAAAUUUAUUAGAAACAUUAAAUGCUGAAACUACUGAAUUUGUUAAGGAAGAUCAACGAAUACCUACAGAACUAAAAUCUAUAGAUGAAAAUUUAAAUGAAGUGGAAUUAGAUACCAAUCGUAUCGUCAAUUCAUCCGUAGACUCAGCUAUACUUCAGGAAUAUAUACCUGCUACCAAAAUAAAAGGCUUGGAUGAUUGGGUUUUGGAAUCUGACUAUUAUAGGUUUUAUGAUAAAGCUAGUGAUUUUGAAAUAAAUGUUGAGAAAGAAUUUGUUCUGCCAUUUCCAGAACAUUUGCAUAUAUAUGCUUUUGAAAGAGAAAAUAACAAUAGAUUUCCAAAUCCUAAGAAAGGAUCUACUGGUGUUUCAGAUUAUUACUUGUUUGAUGGUGGAUCUAUACUUCCUGUGUUGGCUCUAGAUAUACAGUUUAAUGAUAUGGUCCUUGAUAUGUGUGCUGCACCUGGAGGGAAAGCUUUGACCAUCCUCCAAACUCUUAUGCCUCGUAUACUGGUUGCUAAUGAUGUUACAGAAUCUAGAAUAAAAAGACUCAAAAACGUUAUGAAUCAAUAUGUUUCAAACAUGUGCGAAAAAGAAAAUAUGUUAAUUAUAACACAACAAGAUGCUAGAGCAAUUGAUGAGAAUGGUAGAUAUAACAAGAUCUUAGUUGAUGUACCAUGUACAACGGAUAGGCACAUUUUACAUUCUGAUGACAACAAUAUUUUCAAACCAAGUAGAGUUAAGGAAAGAUUAAAAAUGCCAGAAGUUCAGUCUGAGAUUUUAACGACUGCAUUGAAAUUGGUUUCAGUAGGAGGUACAGUUGUUUAUUCGACAUGUUCACUUAGUCCUGUACAAAAUGAUGGUGUUGUACAUGUAGCAUUAAAAAAAGCGUGGGAAGAAAACAAUUCUGUUAUGGUCGUAAAAGAUAUGACAGAAGCACUGUUACCCUUACGAUGUCUAUAUAACUUUGGUAACAUUGACUUAAAAUAUGGUCAUAUUGUUGUACCUAAUCUGAAAAAUAAUUGGGGACCAAUGUAUUUUUGUAAAAUGGUGAAAGUGCAAUAGGUGUGAAUGACUGAGAGCCCAUUGGAUAAUUAAAAUUAAAUAAUUAAAUAAUGAAAUAAUUUAUAUUUCUAUGCAGACAAUUAACUCAUAUCGAACUUCAGUAUUUGAUUCAUAAAAGUAGGCAGCUCGAUAAGCAACAUGUACCAACCAAAAUUACUGCAGAAAUGAGCGAUUAAGAUUGCCAUAAAUGGUUUAGAUCGUAAUACCUCGCCCCAGGGAACUGAUAAUUUCUGAACAAUAUUACGAAUAUAACAAAUAAAGAUACUAAUUAUACAUAUAUAAAA